UUUUUUUUUUUUUUAAGAUUAAUUUAAAGAUCUUUCAACAACUCUCAAACGUCACAAGAAACUAACCAAAAAUUCUACUCUGCAUUAGUGUUUCAAUUGUCUUUUGCUCUACAAGGAAAGAAGUCUCUAUCCUUACAAAAGUAAAAUAAACGCUGAUGGUCUUGUUAAAAGAAUACAAAAAACCCAAGCAAGGAAUCUAAACAAAGAUUUCCUUCUCUUCCAUACAAUAUGGACUUAAAUAGAGACUUCGAGCAGACAUGAUCUUCAUGAGGGAUAUUGUUCUAUACCAUAAUUGAAUCUAAAAUUCAAAAGAUUAUGGUAACAUACCGAGACUGUUAUUCCACACAAGCA
rnacentral:misc_RNA from 1 species